AAGCCCAGACCUGAGCCUUUGCUCCUGGUUUGGGUUACAUGGUGGUUGUAUUUCUUAUUCUGCUCUUGGCUUUGAUUUUUGGCUGGGCUUUGGAUUGGGGCUUGGAUAGUCAGUAGUUGUACCUCCUGUUUGUUUGCUAUUUCUUGCUGGACUCCUUGUGUGUGUCAAUAGUGAUUCAUAACUGACCCACAUCUAAUUCUGUUGAUAGGGUGUGUUAUUUGUGCCUUGCUCUUUCUGCUGUGUUCAGGAAGAUGCUUUACUAGCUAGUUGUUCUUGUUUUAAAAAAUGAGUCCAUCUGCCGAGUGGAUUGAGUUUCACAAGCAACAUUCCAGUGUCUUACAAAUGAGCUGCCAUGACACUGAUUCCUGAGCUAUGAGAAAAUGUUUUCUUUGGUUUACAGUUGGAUGCUUUAUUCUAAGAUGUCAUUGUGCCUUGGAGUGACAAUUUACACAUACUGUUCUUGGAGAGGGAUGGGAUGGAGAAUCAGGGAAAAGAAUGUCACCUCCUGCUCUAAAUGAAAUAAAGGAGCCAUUCUCUCUGGGUAAUUGUGGGUUGCUGUUGUCCUCAAAGGCACUGCUCACAGUCGGUCCUUAGUAUUGGCUUCCCCUUCAGCUGGGGUCCUCCUAUCUGAAAAAAAGGCUAAAUAAUCCUCCAAGUUAAAAUUUGCUUUGUAUACAGUCAACAUCUUGAGCCUUCCUGCUUUUUGUGCCACCAGUGUUCAGCCAUGAAUCCUUCUUACUUUGGUGAGGCCUAGGAAGCCAGUCAAGCUUCUGGUUGUGCUUGCCUCUGGAGCUUAGCAAUGGCUGGAGAAGCUGAGCUGGGGAGCAGAAUGGAAAACGUGGUUUUGCUACAGCCUCACCUUCCUGAGAACACUGGAAACAGAAGAGGAAUAUCCUUCAGCAGGUGAAUUGUGGUUUCCUUACCAUCGGCAAGAAGCAGAGAGUGGUAGAAGUUGAAGAGGUUGCUCUUGAAGCUCUGUUGCAAACUGCUGGUGGGUGCUUUAAUGGAAUGACACAAGCAAGCAGCCAUGAGAAGAUGGAGAGGCAGAUAAAACCAGCACCAAGACAUCUUCAGUACUGCAAAGUGAAAUGACAGAAGUGAAUGUGAACUCCUGUCUUGAGGGAGAAAAUCAGUGACCUUCUCUUUUUGUUCCGUUAGUGAUAUUGAUCAUAAUCACAGCAAGCCAGGCAUUCAAACAACCAGUCUGCACUUUGCUGUAUUGCUUCUAAUUCACUGAGAAAUAUUUUUUUUUCAGAUCUCAUUGUGAAGAUUUAAUGGCAGAAGUCUUUAAUUAUAGGAUUACAUACAUACAUAUAAAUACUUACGUAGUCACUAUAGCACAAAUCCAAUGUCAAAAAAAACACGAAAAUCUUCAUUGCUGAUGGAAAGAAAGGAGAACUACUAUUUUGUUGUUGUUGUUUAUAAAAUUCAUUUACUAAAUUCAAAGCUGGUUUAUUUGUAAUGGAACUUAUUCUGAAACUGAUAGGAGGUCACUAUCCCAAACAUACUUUCUGUCAGAGGCCAUUGAAUAUUUUUUAUAACAGACUGUACAUCUCUCAUGACUGUAGGUGUAUGUAAGGAAGGUCAAAAGUUAUUUAGAGCUGGGUGAGAUCUUGUUUGAUGAGCCCUAUAUUGAUUAUAAAUAUAUUGAUUCUAAAUUAAUUUUUUAAGUUGUGUGCACCUACUUUGGAAGGGAACUACCUUGCUGUUUGGGUAGCUGCAAAAAUCAUUCUGAGAUGGUGAAUUACACAUGUUUC